AUCAAGGAAAGCAAAUGAAAAUGUCGAGAGCAACCGUUGAACUUGAUUUCUUUGGCAUGAGCAAAGAGAACCGCUCCUCCUCUUCCAAAUCCAAGUGUUUUAAUCGCCAAAGAAGCUUUCGAGACAUUCAGAGUGCCAUUUCGAAAAUAAAUCCUGAGCUUCUAAAAUCUGUGAUUGCCUCUGGUUCUGCUUCCAACAAGUCUACUCCAGCUGACGGCAAUCAGUUGUCAAACAAGGCAUUCUCUGUGCCAUCGACUCCUAAACAAGAUCUGCCUCCAUUUCCUGCUUUGCCUGUCUAUUUCCCUCUCCCAAGGCUCAAUUUGGAGAAUCCUCCCGAAACCGCCCCCUUGACCAUUUUCUACAAUGGAACCGUCGCUGUUUUCGAUGUCCCUCGAGACAAGGCGGAAAACAUUUUGAAGCUUGCUGAGAAGGGAUUCUCCAAGACCGUUGUUGAAUCAGUAGCCGAUCCAAGAACAGAUCACCAACAAAAGCUUCUUGAGAGUCUUGGUGGAGAUCUGCCAAUAGCUAGAAGGAAAUCACUGCAGAGGUUUUUGGAGAAAAGAAAAGAGAGAUAGAUGAAUGAAUGCUUCGGAUGGCACAUAUUUCGUAUCUAUCAAUUCAUUUUGUUUUGGUUGACUUCGGCGACCCCGUAUGCUUGCACACAUAAGACGCGUUUUUAAGGCAGGAAGACCAUGAAGAACCGCCGGAAAGAUGAGAAAGAUGGUCUCAACAUCAAGAAAAGGAAAAAAAAAAAAACAAUUGUCGGAAUAUUUUUUCCAUCUUUUUUCUAGCCGGUCGGCGUCUAAGCUGCCUUCCCCUCUUUUGACUGAUAGCGAUACGAUAGAAGGACUCAUAAUUAUAUUAUAUAUGGGCUUAGUAGGGUCCAUGGUUGUGUUUCAGAGUCACGUUUUAGUCAUUGUCAUUUGGCUAUCACCUAAAAAUUCUAAAAUACGCGUCCAUCUCCCACCUUCGGCGUAGUUUCCUAUGGUCUCCGUGUCUAUUUGGGGCUGUAUUUUUAUUAUGUCAGAAGAUGGAGAUCACAUGUAUACUGCUAACUCAGUCUGGAAUGUAUUUUUUAA